ensembl:lncRNA
AUCAGUGUCAAUCUCAAAGCAUUUCUAAAAUAAAAUAUAUUGCUGAGAGCUUCUAUACCUUCAACAAUCACUUGAAGAUCACUUUCCAUUGCCAUAUCUAUCUCAAUGACAAAUGAUGUGUAUCUUCCUGAAUCUGGUUUGGUCAUAUUGUUUAUGUCUACUGCCAUCAUUUAACGUCUUAUACAAAUAAAGAGAUUGAUCUGAUUGAUCAGCAUCAUAAGAGUUUGAUGUGAAAGUGACUCACAUGCAGCAGUCUGCAGCAGCAGCAGCAUCAGUCCAAAGAUGAGCAUCAUUUCUCUAAAGUCCAGUUUCAGAAGAACUCAAUCCCAGCAGAAGAGUGUGACGCUGCUUCAGAUCGUCUGUGUUCUGGCUCUCAUCAAGACAGCGUCUUCACGGCGAGACUCACACUGGACUGACACACGAG